UACGAAGGGGGCUAGCGUUGCUCGGAAUUACUGGGCGUAAAGCGUGCGCAGGCGGUUGUGCAAGACAGAUGUGAAAUCCCCGGGCUUAACCUGGGAACUGCAUUUGUGACUGCACGGCUAGAGUGCGGCAGAGGGGGAUGGAAUUCCGCGUGUAGCAGUGAAAUGCGUAGAUAUGCGGAGGAACACCGAUGGCGAAGGCAAUCCCCUGGGCCUGCACUGACGCUCAUGCACGAAAGCGUGGGGAGCAAACAGG
rnacentral:rRNA from 1 species